UUUGUCGAAAAAUUGUGGUUUUCUAUCGCGAUUUUUCACUCUGAAAAUUUCGAUUUUUGGAAGGUACGUUUUUAUAAUUGUUUUAUUUGUGACCUUAGUUGCACGAUUUUUGUUUUAUGUGGUUGUCGUAUCAUGUUUCAGUUAUGUUAAUCACGCAUUGAAUUAACCUUAGCUUCGGGUCAGCAGAGUUGUAACGAGUCACCUAUAGGUCGAGUCACGAGUCGAGUCACUCAAAGGUCGAGUCACGAGUCGAGUCAUUUCGGUUUCUGAUCGAGUCGAGUCGGGUCAGUGGCUUCACUCGAGUCGAGUCGAGUCGAGUCAGCAGUUUCACUCGAAUCAAGUCGAGUCAUUGGUUUAAGUCGAGUCGAGUCAAUAGCUAGACUUAACUUGAGUCAGGGAAUUUGAUCAAGUCCACCCACAUCCUUGUCCCCAGGGCCUCUCGGCCACGCGCGUCCUCCCUAGGCCCUGGAACAUAAGAAACUGGAAGUACAAGUAAACUUGCAGUAGUUUCUAAAGCGCAUGGUCUUGAAUUGGGACACUUUAGCACCCGUAACAAUUUUCAAAGUGAAGUAUUACGAAGAAACGAAGUAUUUGCGUUGACAUAUAUGUUGAUAGAAUAAUUUUUCCUAGCUAAAACUGCUCAACUUCUGCGAAAUAGGAUUUCUCUGAGAAGCCAAUCAGAUCUCUCGCUUUAGUCGCCUAACCCACAGCCUACUUUUCAACGAGUGACCGAGUGAAAAUGGCUCUGGGGACGAGAAUGGUCCACCUCACGCUUUUUGUAAUGGUUCGCUACCUUAGCUUGCAGUUUGAAAUUAGUAAUCAAAUCUACGUUUUAAGCUAAUCACUUUAGUCAUGUAAUAACAGUAUCUGGGCAGCCAUAGGCUGUACCAAUAUCACAGUUCUAGUCAAUAUUAAGUACAACCACAUGAGAUGUCUCAUCAUGCCUGCUGAUCGAGUGUACGUAUAUACAACUAGCAUAACUUGCAACUGGAGUCAGAAUUAACAAAGAAUAUACUUUAAUUAACCAUGCUUUGUAAGUUAAUUUGAAAUUAUAUAGCACUUCAUAAAUACCAAAAAUGAAGAUAGCCGGUCAGAAUUAGCAUAAGUACAAAAAAUUUUGAGACUCCAUUUUAAAAACUGUGGCACUAGCGUUGUUUCUAAAAACAGAAAUGUAAUAUAGGCAUGCCCGUCAGGAAUAUACUGUAUUCUUUGCAAAUCCCAUAUAUUUUCUGAUAAAGUUUCGAAGUUCUCAUUAUUCACAGGGCUCAUUGUUCUUCCCAAGCAAUACAAUCACAAUAUUUUUGAUGAAUUUAUUCUCUACAAGUUGUAGCUGAGUUGACUCGAGUCUUUCACGACAAAAUCAGCAAGUCGAGUCCGAGUCGAGUCAUUUUGGGCUGUUGACUCGAGUCGAGUCGAGUCAUUUUUCGUUUUGGACUCGAGUGGCUGAAAAUAGCAACCCGAGUCGACUCGAGUCCGAGUCAAUGACUCGACUCGUUACAACACUGCGGGUCAGUGCUCAUGCUACAAAAGUGGCUUUGAUAUUCGCCGGGGGUUAAUUUAAUACUUUUUAAAGCAGGAAAUUCAACAAAAUUUACAGCAUCGAAUUCAGGAAGGGUUAUUCUUUCUAUUGAUACUUCAAAACACAAAUAACCCCCUCGAACUGACGAGUUAUCGCGGUUUGAAAAUGGGGUAUAUUUCGGGGCUAUAAAAGAAAUGGCAUUGAUAUACGCCGGGGGUUAAAUAGUUUAUAAAUCGGGAAAUUCAGCAAAAUUCACAUCAUUGAAUUCGGGGAGGGUCACGGUUCUAGCUGAUACUUUAAAACAUUAAUAAUCUCCUCCAACCGACGAGUUAUCGCGGUUUGAAAAUGGGGGUAUAUUCCGGGUAUAGUGCCAUGACACGAAAACGGCUUUGAUAUACGCAGGGGGUUAUUAGGUUUAUAAAUCGAGAAAUUCAAUAAAAUUCACAUUGUAUUCAGUAAGGGUUACUCUUUCUAUUGGUACCUUAAAACAUUCCCCUGAAACCGACGAGUAAUCGUUGUUUGAAAAUGGGGUAUUUUUGCUUUUGUUGUCACCAAUCGCGGGAAAAGAGAAAAUAUGGCGCGAAUGCGACGUAAACAAGCCAGCUUUUCUAAUGUAUUGUUCCUGAUUGUAUCAUUUGUUUUUGUAGAAUUCGAGUUUAUUGGAGCAAAAAAUGGAAUCUAUUAAUAAUGAUGGCGAUGUUGGCAUUGUUGAUCAUGAGUUAGAAAAUGAGGAAACUCAAAUUACGCCAGGAAAAUAUCUCGUGUGGAAAGUUCAUCAUUCAGUCGAGCUUUGUUUCAACGUCGUGGCACAUCAGCAAAGGUAUAAUAAAAACAAUUAUGGUAGACGAAAUUGUACUUAAAACUUUGUUAUUCUUUGCUAUUCUAUUCUUAUAAGUUGUCUUUGUAUAUUCAGUGUAAAGCUGGAGUAAAUAUGAGCAACAAAAUUGCUGCAACUUGCAACUAAAAAUCUGAUUUCAACGCAUGUUAAGUAGAAAUGUUGACACAUGUUGCCUCGUGAUUUGUAUUAACUUAUAUGCAUGUCAACAUUUCCACUUAACAUCCGUUGAAAUCAGAUUUUGUUGCAAGUUGCAGCAAUUUUGUUGACCGUAUUACUCCACCUUAAUACCUCUGUGUAACAUUAUUCUGCAGUGUAACAUUAUGAUUCGUGUAUGAUUAUUCAUAUGUCAUCUGUGACUCAAUUUCAUUUUAAGGACCUGUCACACUAUUGCAUAUCGUACUAGCGUAUGCCAGCGUAUGAAAAAUAUCACUCAUACGCCGGUAUACGCUCACAUACGCUAGGGGUACGUUAGGCAUAGGUUGUAUACGUUUCAAGCACGGUCGCAUACGGUGGCAUACGCUGGCAUACGGCGAGGCAGAAUUUUUUUUAAGCAUGUUCAAAAAUUUUGUGCGUAUCGGACGUAUGGCUUUAUACGAUAAGCAUACUCUAGGCACACGCUGAAUACGCUAGAGGUACGCCAGAUGUACGGUACUCAUACGCUGGCAUUUCAAAGGAUUUUUGUGCGUAUGAAAAUUAUUUCCUUAAUUUUCAUACGCUUCUCAUACGUUUCUCUCGUACGCAAUAGUGUGACAGGGCCUUUAGUAAAUGACAUACUUUUUUGUAGUUUCCUAGCAGAAAGAUCAGGCUGACCCUUUCAAAGAAGUCACCAUGCAGUGAGAAAAACAUAAAUGGACCUUUGAGGAAAAUAAAGCUUUGAUCGAGUUUAUAUAUAUUGCCAAA
rnacentral:lncRNA from 1 species